rnacentral:rRNA from 1 species
GAUGAACGCUGGCGGCGUGCCUAAUACAUGCAAGUCGAGCGAACAGAUAAGGAGCUUGCUCCUUUGACGUUAGCGGCGGACGGGUGAGUAACACGUGGAUAACCUACCUAUAAGGCUGGGAUAACUUCGGGAAACCGGAGCUAAUACCGGAUAAGAUUUUGAACCGCAUGGUUCAAUAGUGAAAGACGGCCUUGCUGUCACUUAUAGAUGGAUCCGCGCCGUAUUAGCUAGUUGGUAAGGUAACGGCUUACCAAGGCAACGAUACGUAGCCGACCUGAGAGGGUGAUCGGCCACACUGGAACUGAGACACGGUCCAGACUCCUACGGGAGGCAGCAGUAGGGAAUCUUCCGCAAUGGGCGAAAGCCUGACGGAGCAACGCCGCGUGAGUGAUGAAGGUCUUCGGAUCGUAAAACUCUGUUAUCAGGGAAGAACAAACGUGUAAGUAACUGUGCACGUCUUGACGGUACCUGAUCAGAAAGCCACGGCUAACUCCGUG